AGAGUUUGAUCCUGGCUCAGGACGAACGCUGACGGUGUGCUUUAGACAUGCAAGUCGAACGAGAAAGCCCUUCGGGGUGAGUACAGUGGCGAACGGGUGAGUAACACGUGGGUAACCUGCCCCUCGCAGGGGGACAACCGGGGGAAACCCCGGCUAAUACCCCGUACGCUUGCCGGGUCGCAUGGCCCGGCAAGGAAAGGUAGCUUCGGCCAUCCGGCGAGGGAUGGGCCCGCGGUCCAUUAGCUAGUUGGUGGGGUAACGGCUCACCAAGGCGACGAUGGAUAGCUGGUCUGAGAGGAUGAUCAGCCACACUGGGACUGAGACACGGCCCAGACUCCUACGGGAGGCAGCAGUCGGGAAUCUUGCGCAAUGGGCGAAAGCCUGACGCAGCAACACCGUGUGGGCGACGAAGGCCUUCGGGUCGUAAAGCCCUGUUGUUGGGGACGAAGGGCGAAGGGUUAAUAGCCCCUAGCUUGACGGUACCCUUCGAGGAAGCCCCGGCUAACUACGUGCCAGCAGCCGCGGUAAUACGUAGGGGGCGAGCGUUGUCCGGAAUUAUUGGGCGUAAAGAGCGUGUAGGCGGCUUGGUAAGUCUGCCGUGAAAACCUGAGGCUCAACCCCGGGCGUGCGGUGGAUACUGCCAGGCUAGAGGAUGGUAGAGGCGAGUGGAAUUCCCGGUGUAGCGGUGAAAUGCGCAGAUAUCGGGAGGAACACCAGUAGCGAAGGCGGCUCGCUGGGCCAUUCCUGACGCUGAGACGCGAAAGCUAGGGGAGCGAACAGGAUUAGAUACCCUGGUAGUCC
rnacentral:rRNA from 1 species